GCUGUGAUGUGUUGAGUGUGUGAUUCAUACGACUUACGGUGAGUUUGGUUGUGCUGUUUUUAGUUUUGUAAAUCGAAGCUUUUUUCCCGAAUCCCCACAAAGCCAAAGCUGAGGAGUCACAAUGAGUGAAAUGAAAACUUGGCCAUCUCUUGUCGGAAAGAGUGGAGAAGAGGCAAAAGAACAGAUCAAGAAAGACGACUCCUCUCUCCAGGUCAAUAUUAUACCACAUGACCAUGGUGUGACCUGUGACUUCCGAACUGACCGGGUCAACAUCUUCCUGGAUGCAGAGGGCAAAGUGACAAGAGCGCCAAUGAUUGGAUAAAUCAGAAGAAGACGUCACAUGGCCCCACACUGACUGAACAACUGAGCCUUUUUUCAUCAACCUCCUCUUCCUAUACUGUGCAGAAACCUCCCCUGGAGUAUACUCGCUCAUGGGUUGAAGUGCAAACAGGCAGGUGCAGACAAAACUCAAUGCAUAAGUAUGUGCAAGUAAAAGCAGUUACGUAUUUUAGCAUUUUGUGUUGAUGCAUUUUAGAGAAUUUAGACCCUUUUCAAACUCAAACAGUGCCCUCAGUGUUGUCAGAGGAGGAAUUAUCCCUGGUUUGAGAGUUGCUUAAAAAUAUGUUGUGUACAUCCAUGUUUGUACAUGCUUCCCUUGUUUGACCAAAACAGAGGCGGCCUAUUAAUUCAAUGCUGCAAGAUCGACUUUCCUUUUGCUUUCAAAGACUUCACCUACCAAAAUGCCACAUCGCACUCCACUUUGCUAAACUGUUCAGUUCUACAAUGCUUUUUGUCAUUACCUAAAAAAGAAUUAGCUGUUGGAAACUGCUUAUAUGAAUUCAAAAAAAAAGUUAAUGAACUAACGUUUCAACUUUAGCGGAGUCUUUUUCGAAUCAAACUCCUGAACAAUGUCCUGUAGUUCACUAAAAAAAAUUAUCAAAUGAAUUGUGACAAAUAUGAUUUAAUUCUGUGGAGCAAUGGUGACAACAGUAGUGAUCAGCGUUAGAAUUGAAAAAAUAUUUAAUCUUAAAAAGAAGUAAUGUGUACAAAAACAAGAAAGGAUAGUACAUUUUUUAAUAACUAUUAAUUGUGAUAUAUGAAGUUAUUUAAUAAUAAAUAUGAAUUAGUUUAUUUUGUAAAAUGUUUAAUAAAAAAAAUGCAACAUUUGAAGAUAAAAGAAGGAAAUAGUUUAU